rnacentral:lncRNA from 1 species
GGGUCAAAAAUGUGAUUACAAUUUCACCCGUUUUCCUCCCCUUUUAAAAAAUAAGGCUAUUAGAAAAUUUAAAAUCACAUCGAGGCCGCACGUUGUAUUUUUAUUCGAUAGCGUUGCUCUAAAUCAUGACAGAAAUUUAACCAGCAGUCCACCUCCUGGUGUGGAGGGAAAAACUCGGUUGAACAGAAGAGAAAACGUCCCUUGGUGAGGCAGUAGUUGACCUGCAACAAGGACCCAGGUCCCCUGGCUUCGAGCAGGCGGCAUUAGCAAAAGGUCCUUCUGGCCUCUACAGGACCCGGCAUGACGCGCCCCUGGCUACCGCCUCAUCUCUUGCUGUUCUUCUUCCUGCCCACUCUGUUCUGGACACAGUUCCUUGCUGUUCCCUGCAUUCACCAGGCUUAUUCCAACCUUCUGGCUUUUGCGUGGGCAGUUCCCUCUGCCUGGAAACCUCUGCCUUGAGACGGCUUUAUGAUUCGUCCCUUCGCUUUACUCAGGUCUGGGCUCAAACACCACCUCCUCCAAGAGGCCCCACGCUGACCCCUCUGGAAACUGACUCUUGCCAUCUCCCUCUUGCCAUCCUGCUUCAUUUUUAUUUGUUGCAUUAGUCACUACCUGACGUUAUAUAUUUGCUUCUGGUCUGUUUCUCCCAGACCAUGAAUAUCCUGAGGGCUGCAGCUUCCGUCUUUUGGGCACUGCGGGAUUCCUAGCACCUGGAGGAAAUUCUAGCACCAGGCACACGGGUCACAGACGAGGCACUCGAUGAACGUUUGUUGAAUGAAUAAUUAACCAAAUACUCAAUUAACUUGCAGUGGAGGCGGGGCAUCUGGCCCCUACUCUCCAGUCCAAUCGAAUUAGGAAAAAUGAGACCCAAAGAGUGUGGAUGGCCAGACAUGAGGGCAGCACGGGGCUGGGGUUUGGGAGAAUCCUCCGUCCUGGGCUAGUCGUGGUGGGUGGAGAGAAUCAGCGAGGCUUCUAGGAGGACCCUGGAGGAUUUGAUCAGGAAGAUGGGACCGGAGGGCAUUCCUGACAAGGCACCAGCCCAGCAAAGCUUGGAGGUGGGAAUGAGAACACAAGUCUCCCCAGGGCUCAGGCUGAAAGCUUCUGGGCCCUACACCUGCUUGGACCGGCAGGGCAGCAACUCUGAAACCCAGAGCCCCCUGGCGGCCAAACCUUAGCAUGACAACCCAGUCGGACACCAGUUAUUGAGCGCGUUAUCGAAUCCUCACGACAGAGCUUUGAUUCCAUUUUCAGAGGAGGAAAUGGAAGCCAGAGAGGUUAAGUCACCAACUCAGGUCACCCAGCUCUUCUCCCAGAAUCCGAGGUGUGGGGAGCCCACCCAGCUGCCCCUCACCCAUCACACAGAGACACUGGAGGAGAUUCAGGUGGGGGUGGGGCAUGAUUCCAGAGUCUUGAAGACCCAGGCAGACCAGGGUGUGAGCCCCCAGUUCGGUCCCUCUCCAGCUAAGUGACUCAGGCCAGUUACCGGGGCCUCAGGCUACAACCAAGGAGAUCGCAGUGCGAUGAAAUUAAGACAGCGCAGAGCCCGCAGGAUGCACAGCCCUGGAAGAGAAGCGCCACGAUUACUGCACACGACGAGGGCCCAUCUGGUCUGAGCAUCCACAUGGUAGAUGCUCGGGGAGGGUUGGGGCUGUCUGCGCAUGCCCAGAACCGGCGGAGGAACGGGGCAGCAGCCUCCGAAUUGCCCCUGACUCAGGAAUGGAAACCUGUUCACUCCCCUCCUCUGAGACCCAGGAGUCUGG